rnacentral:lncRNA from 1 species
GGAUAGCAAACUAUUUGGGCUGGAAGUCAGUGCUGGCACAGGGGUUAGCAGGAGGUGUUUUAAAAUAAGCCUAUUGCACAUCCAUUAAGUUUAGGUAAACAUGAGCUGUCAAAAUUUUAAAGCAAUAAACAACCACUAAGCAAAUUUGUUUGAUGAGAUGAGAGCCAAGAAUUUAUACUCAGCUCACUCUAAGUACUCUCCAUCCAUUUCAAGUUUUAACAUCUUCUCUUUCAAAUUUCCGAAACCAAACAUUUCCAAACAUUUGCCCAAAUUUCGUGGUCUUUGCUGCAAGCAUCAAAGUUAACUACUGGGUUGUUUAAGUUGAGCAAGGAAGGGACUGAUCGAAGUAAUUUUAAGAAAAAGAUCAUCUAAUUCAAAGCAAGCUAUAUUAAACUGAGGAUUCGUAGCAAAGUGAGGUAUGUUUAUUUCAUUAAGUAAAUCAUGAAAUUUUUAGUUUGUUUUGUAUAAAAGGGCUACAAUUGAAUUGUUAAUUGAGAUUGUGAUAGACGAUUUAUCAAAAAGGAGUAUAGUUGUUAUGGUGAGGAGCAAUAAGUGGGAAAAUUUAUGGCUGGAAACCUACACAAAUCCAGAUGAGAUCUGUUCUAAAAAUACAUGCACAUGACGUGUUUGAUAAAUGGUUUCUUAGAGUCAAUAAGCUCAAAAUUAGUAAUUGUAAUAAUAUAUUAAGUAAGAUAACAUUUAUAAAUGUUAUAUGAGAUGUAUUGAAUGAAUUUUAUAAAUGAAAUUUGAAUUAAAAAAAACUGUUUUAAAGAGGAUGUACAAUGGAGGUUUAGUUGGAAAAUUGGUGCUUUAGAUGGAGAAAUGAAAAUUUAUUACUCCUUAUAUAGAAAGAUGGACACUACUGGACAAGUAUUAUUUUAUAGCUUAGUUGUAGGCAAUACUUAAAAGGAUUAAAUUGCAUCACAAGCAAGGAAUUGAUGAAUGUGAUAUUAAUUCAAUCUGAUUUUUUUGUCGCUGCUGUGGAGAUAUUUAAAGAUUGUCCAGGACCAUCCCGCAUGAAGCCAUUAUUAUUGCUACAUCAAAAGCUAGAUAUGUCUUUGUUGAGAUAUCCUUCUCUUAAUGAGCUAAAAUAUACUACAGUUAAUACAAAAUUUUUGUGGAAAGAAUCAAAAGAUACAUGGGGCACAAUGCUAUCUUUGAGGAGGAUACUUUUAUAAGUAUGGGUAAAAAGCGUAACAUAAGGUUUAUACACAUUCUUAUAUCUUAUGUUUGCACUAUUCAAGUGAAAAGUAGCCGAGCUGCAAGAAUGGAUUUUGAUCUAGUUUGCAUAUGGCUGGGUUAGUAAUGUCAAAUGACUAAAUAUUAAGCUGAAAACAACAACUCCGAUACACAUGUAUAUGCAUGCACAAGUGUUAUCUAUUAGAGAUAUUAAACAUGUAAAACGAACUAAUUAAAACUGUUUUUGGGGGGCUGAUCUUGAGCCAAAAUUUAUGAGGGUAUAGAACUGAAAAUUUUAGUUUUUUAAUGGUGGGUUGUGCUCCUAUGAGUUAUGGAAAUAAUCCAAUUGGAGUGAAUCAAAAAGGAGCUAAAACGAAUUUAUAGUGAAGAUUUUAGUAAAACAUAUUAGAAACCGAAAAAUUGUGGACUGCUGACCCUAAGGACAAAUUCGGGGCUAGCUAUAUUUUUCAAAAAAUUCUGGCUUUUUGGGGAAGUAUAGUACACUGAAUAAGGAAUCCAUAGCCUCUGGAAUGGACUAAUUCCGACCUCGGAGGAGGGAGUUAUGGCAUUCCAAAGUAAGAGCGGCGAAUCUGUCCAAAAUCUGGAAAUCAGAUUUUGACCAGUCCCUUGCACGAAUUAUUUUAGAAUUCUGUGUUUUGAAUUUGGAAAUGCUCAUAGAAUGAAAGUUGUAGCCUCAGAAGUUAGCUUCGCGUGGGCUCAAGAAUCGCUCAAAAAUGUUUUGAAACGAAUUAGUUAUGACUGUUUUAGCGAGAGGAUAAAACUGGAAAAAAAAUUGAAAAUUACUAUGAACGUCAAUUUUUGGCACGUUGUUAAGACUACUUAACAAACCCGAAAUUAGAGGUUGGUAUUUCUUAAAAAUAGUCUUGUAUGCCAUGAAAAAACAUACUAAAAAUGCCUUACGAUUGGAAAAGUAGAUUGCAAGUUUUAAGCCGCGAAGUGGGUGUCAAAGGCGAGGGGCUGCUGCCUUGUGGCAGCAGCAGAUAGCAGCAGCCAUGGGUUGUUCAGCAUGCGAUUUUCCCGCAACGCUUUUGGGUGGUUUUGUGGCUGUUUAACAUGUAACAAAACACCGACAGAGCUGUAUAGAUAUUAUAUAAUGUUAUAUAUCGCGAAAACUCAAUUUAACUGUAAAGAAAGCGAUAGAAAUGUAAUGUAAAUGUAAGUUUUCAUAACUAUGCGAGCGUAAUUCGGGAAAUGAUAUGUAGAACGUAUAUUCCUAAACCCCUAUGGUCCCGUGUUUAUAAAUAGAGGCAAGAAAUAUUUUAAAAAGGGGAUAUAAAUGGUUUAUGUUUUGAUACGUACGUAAAGUAUUUACAUACUAAAUCCAUGAGAGAACCUUUUUGGGCAUAAAAAGGUUAUAACGGACAAAAGUUUCUAAAGAAACAUGGAAUGGUUUUAAGACGGACAAAAUAUUAUAGUUAAUGUAAAUAAAAUUAGUUUACAUUGAGUAUGUGAAUUUAGUAUGUGAAACUAAUAUGGAUAUGUAUAUAUUCUCAAUUUGUGUAGGAUCAUUACAGAGCAGAUAAGUUAUAAACAUUAAACAACAUCCGAGGCAAGUUUUUCAGUUCUGUUAUGUUUGUGGAUGGAAUGUGGUUAUGUGCUAAAUUACAUAUCAUGCUCUAUGAAUUGUUAAAGUCAAAAUAUGACUAAGUUAAUUGGGUAUGGAACUCAAUUUAUAUGUGAUAUGUGAUAACACAUGUUGUAUGAUGUAACACGAUAAUUGGAAAUGUAUAAUGCAAGAAUAUAUGCAUUGCACAGAAUUAUUGAUGCAUGUAGAAUAUGCAUAGCAAAGAAAGUAUGUUGCAUGUGGUGAAUAUAGAGUUGUGUGCUAUGUGAAGCAUGAUAGACUGUUAAAUUUGUUGGGCUGUCGAGCUCAAUCUUGCAAACACAAACUUUUUGCAGGUUAAUGACGUUAUGCAAUAUUAUUUGUUAUGCGGAUGAUGAAGGAUGAAUGAUGGACGAAAUGAAUACAUUUCUUGAAUUAGAAAUGGUAUAAAUUUAUGAUUGAUAGUUUUGUCAAAUGUAAUUGACAUUAUCUAUAGUUUAAAAUGGUGAAUGGAUACAAAAUGUUUAUUUUGAAAUGAAAAUAAAUAUGAUUCUAGUAUAAAGAAGAAUUGUAAAUGUUGCGAUUCAGGGAAUGAAUGAAUGGAAAUAAUAAUAAAAAAAUUUAUUCCGCA